CACAGAGCUUCAAGAGCCAUCAAAGGCUGAAGCGGCCCCCCUGAGACAUCGCCCUCAGGGCUCCAGGAACAAGAAAUAUAACAUCUUAGCAGAAGACAAAUGUAUUUAAACUAUGGUAGUUGAAAUACUUUUCUUCCCAAAAAGAGGGUUUUUGGGCACGGGGCGUAUUGACACCGAGCAUUUACAAACUUCACUCCCGCCAAGACAUCAGUGACGCGCUGCCCUCGUUUGCACACAUUUAUUGGUACGUCAGGAGCGGUUCGGAGCCGCCCGGCAGGAGAAAGCAGGCCCGGCCGUGCGGUACUGCAGACGCCGCCGCCCCUCAGACGAGUGCUGGGAGCGCCUCUCACACGGCGGCACCGCAGCAGCUGCGGACGGGAUCCCUCUGCUCCCGCCGCUGCGAAGCGCCCGGAGCCGCCCGGAGCCCCGCUUCCCCGGGCACGGUGAGGCCGCACCACCCGCCCCAGGCGAGCACCGCUCGGGGACGGCUCUGAGGGACCGCCGCCGCCGCCCUCCCUUGCUCGCUCUCGGCCCGGAGCAGGCCCCCCCGCCGCCGCAUCUCGGGGACGCCUCAGCACCGUCUCCCCGAGCCGCCGGCCUCCCCCGCGGCCGGCGCUGCGAGCCGCCCUCCCUGCGCGCCCGGCCCCCCCGCCCGGCGCUGACAGGACCCACCAUCGCCGUUGCUACCGUUGACGCUCCGGUUGCUAUGGCACGGCCGCCUCCCGCGCAUGCGCAGCGCCGCGGACACGUCGGGGCCGGGGGGGCCGAGCACGGAGGCAGCCACACCUGGCGACCAUAGAGCUCCGCCGCCGCGCACAGGCCCGGCCCGGAAGUCGCGUAGGGGGCGCUCCGCGACGCAUUGUGGGACGCGGCGCAGGGGCUGCCGCGCUCCUCCCGCCCGGCUUCGCCGGCAGCGGCUCCGCCGCCGGGCCCGGCCCGAGGGCUGCCUUCUCCCCCGCUUCGGCUCCGGUACCGAUAACAGAAAGGCCACGCCCCGCAUCCGUCACUGUGCGCUUUUUAUUGAAUUAAAUCACUUGGUGAAAGUUACAGCGAUUGACAGGUGACAGCCCGCGCCCAGGCCGCCCCUCACAGAGGCCGGCGCCCCCCGGCUGCUUCCCGCGCUCCUUCAGGCGCGGCCCGGCCUGCGCGCGGCUCCUGAAGCGGGUGCGGAACCCCACGGUUGACUUCAGCUCCUUCCUGCGGCACCUCCACACUCAGCUCAUCAAGUGAAUCCAGACAUCGGAGACACACUACGGGACGUCUGCCGUGGAAGGCGUGCGAAACUAUACCUUUUCUCAGUCAGUACCUCCAAUUCUCCAGUCAUUUUGGCGGCUCAAGCUCAGCAGCAACAACUUACAGGUGCUGAAGUGUUCAUCCCAGAUGCAAGUGCAGAAACUCCUGAAUCUUUCCCCAGGAAUGUUCCUGGGCAUGGGCGUGUGCUUUGCUCUCUCCACCCCCCAGAACAGGCACCCCCAGAACACGAUCCAGAGCUACCUGACAAAACGGAGUAGAAGGAGGAUCGAUUCGGUGGCCUGCUCCUGGAUAACUCAACAGUUCAAAGUUUUCUUUCCCAUGCUGGCGUAGACGCCCAAUUGCUAGCUCAGCAUAUAAGGAACUCUUCCACAUACGAUCAGCUUCCCCUACUACUAGGAGAAAGUGACCUUCUGCUUUUUCGAUGGGGAUUGUGCAAGAGGAAUUAGCAGGAUUCGCUGGGUCAUCCAGAGCUUCAAAAGUGUCAAAUACACCAGUGUCAGAAACGCUGACCUUAUUCAUAUCAAAACGCAGCCCAGGCAGAGUUAUCUCACCAUAAUGGAGGUCUGCAACUGUGUUCGAACUACAGCCGGAGAUACAGACAGCAGCCACUACUUCUGGUAGGAAGGUGAUCAUGGAGAGUGCUAAUUCUGCACCUUUCCCAGUCCCAAUCACUCCAACUCCUGGCCCUUUCACCUUCAGGUUAAGAUGGGGGUGUGGGGAAGAGAGGAAGAGAGGAAUAAAUAUAUGUUAUAAUAGGGUUAGCCAUUACAUGUCUUUGAAGUUGUGUUAUUAAAAAAAAAAAGUUAACUACUGAUGUGACCUGUUGGAAAGCUAUAGCCUGGAUCCAGACUUCUCCCAGGCAUCUUAUUCUUCAGAGCCAAUAACAAAUGUCAAACACCAUAAAAUAACACCGGUAUCACAUCUGUGCUAGGCACAACAAGUACAAUCACUUGGAACUCAACCACUGUAUAUUUUCGUGCAAAUAUUUUCCCCCAGACAGGUAGCAGGAACUUCAAAUGCCAUCAAUUGCAAAAUACGUCCCAGGCAUAUAAAGUCAUCUCACAAAUGACAUUUGAGAAUUAGAUGUGUAUUCAGCCCUUUCCUUUUCUAGCCUGGAAAGGAAAACAAAGUAACAUCUCAAGUUACUUAUCAAAUCAAUUCAUCUGUAGCAUUGAGCGGUGCUGUGCCAUCUUCUUGUAAGCUAAUUGCUUUCAUUAAAAUAAACAAAAGCCCACAAACAACACCACAUAUGUACAUCGCCACUGCUCCUGUUUGAAGGCUGUUCCAGCACUUCAUUGUCCUCAUGAUCAGGAAUUGUCAAUUUUCCAGUGUGAAUUUAUUUAAUGGCCUGCUUGUGGUGGAAGAAAUGUGCUCUGCAGCGAUACGCAUAGCUGUCCACGUAGGACCUACGCUUUUUCCAUUAUGGGACCUAAAUCUGCCCAAAGACACUCCCAAGAAAAUCACUGCUACCACAUGGGCGUAACUACCAAAUCUUCCCUAGUUCCUUGUCUGGAGAGAUCUCUCUUUACACUCACCUUUGGGUGGCGCUGUAGAAAUCUAGCUGCCUCCUGAAAGUACUCAAGUUUAAAUUCUUUCAUGACCUUAGGCAGAUCUUCAAAGUCAAAAUAUGGCAGAGAAAGAGCAGCAAAACCACGGGUAGCCAGGAGACUGGAUCUAAAUUCAAUCAAACCUCCUUCAUCACCAUACAUGUCAAUCACUCCUGGAAAGGGGCCAUCCCCUGGAUGGAGAAGAGGUACAGAGCACAAGUUAUCAAACAGGACUCUAAGAAGUAUCUAGUUCAGUUUGAAAAUCAAAAUAUAGAAAGCAUUAGAUGUUUUCUAUAACUACUCAUCAAUUUUCUGUUUGCGCAGCUGAGAUUAGAGAUCGGUGCUGUAUCUGACUUCAGCUAUUUCAGGUGCUGAGCUGAGCAGGUUCUGAGCUUCCUAUGAAAGUACGUGAACAGCUAAACAUGCUUUGUUAAAAAUGUUUUCUCAGUGUAUUUUUCAAUGAUCUUAAACACCAACCCUCAAAACAACCAUGCUCCAAAUCAGCUCUUUUCCCCACAAAGAAGCCAUUUCUUAAUUAGCAAAGUGAAAACACAUUACUAAUGAGGCAAUAGCAUUAAGGCAAAGGAUAUACAAACCCCGAAAUAAGGCACACCAAGAAAAGCACAGCAGAGACACCCACUGCAGGAUGAAAUCAGCUCAACUUACUCCCUCUAUCUCGACAUCAGCACUGUCACAGCCAGCAGCCAAAUUGCUACUGCAAGUAUGAAAAGACAGAGUAAAACUGAGAGGCGCGUGGGUGCAGUGAGGUGUGUGCGACCGAUGCACAGAUAAACAUGCAUAUACGUGCAUGUCCUGUCAAACUACAGAGAUUUUCAGAACCACAACUUCAAGCAACCAUGGUUUUGCAGUGAAGGUUGUGUUGUUAUAUUUCAAUCUGAUACGCUAGCAGAUUUUGUGUUAAAGGCUCUUGCAACCAUAAGGAGCCCAGGUAUUUUUUGUUUGUUUAUUUUGGGGAGGUGUGGUGUCUUGCCACCAGAUGUCACUGCUGAUGUAUUCAGAUCCAGGUCACAGCUCUCAGUAGAAAAGUACGAUUGUGCAAGAGUGCAUUAAGCCUCUGGCAUUAUUUAUAUGUGGCAAAGACAAGACCUCUCAUAUUUCAAGGUGCUUGAAAAAAGAAGUUUUGGACAAGACGAGUUAGAAGGUAGAAACCUCCUAAUGAAAUGCAAAAGUCAGAAAAGUGCUGAAACAUGCUUUUGACUUCUUUCUCAGUUCUAAAACCUCUCAUUAAAGUUCAGUAUUCUAUAGGAGAGAAAAACAGUAGCAUUCUUUUAUUUCUCACCCCUACACAUUCUAGUGAGAGUGUAUGACCAGAACACAGUGAGGAAGGACUGCAUUUCUCUCUUUCAUGAAGAUAACCUUCAGCUUACACAAGGACACCCAACUGCCUUCCUGAAUGCCUGCAGAGCCCAAGUGUAGUUUCUCCACAGUUCAAGAAAAAGCAGGAUAACUUUUUAGACAACUUUAUUACUGCUUAAAAACAUUACAGCCUGUAACUUUAUACCUGAAAUGAGAAAUAUCUUUCCUAUCACAGUUGCAGCAUAAAACCAUUUAUGUAAUCUCACUUUUACUAAGGAUGAUUGAUCCUUUAUUUAAAAGGAUGCCAGCAUCAUUUAAGCAAUCAUCUCAGACUUCUCCAUAAUAUUACAACACCAGACCUUCUAAAGGGAAAAAUACAGUUCCAGCUUGCAGAUCUCUGGAUUUCCACUGAGCUCAGCAGAAAUUUGGCUCAUUCUCUAAGGCAGGAUGUAUCAACCACAUCUCAGUGUGAGAUAUUUCAGAAUGCUGACUAAACAUUUGAUCCAAAAUUCAAAGUCCAAUCUAUGUUGGGUUUUUUUUUUCCUUCUUUAGCAGACUUUGGUCUGUAUCUAAAAGGUUAAUAAAGAUUAUUGGUUUGGAAAUCAUUCACCAAGACUUUAAUCCCUGAUAAUUGUAGCAGCACUUAGAGGAUUUGCAGAACCAACCUACUCCAGAGGCAAUACGGAUGGAAGUUCUCGCAGUACAACAGCCACUGAAAUACGGAAGUUUAAAUCACGGCUGAAGCAUUCCAACACUGCCAGCAGUGUAAGGUUUCAACUUCCAGCAACAGCAGCAGCCCAUCGGUAUGCCACACUUCAUAGAACACAGCCAUCCCACGGGGAGAACAGGCAGAGCUUCUUCAGAUAACUACACAGAACAACAGAACUUGCUAAACUAGCAGCUUAGCUUGAGCUCUGGCGUAACAGAACUGUAAUACUUUACUACAGUCUCCUCUGCGACUCUGCUUAUCAGCACGUGCUUCAUGGGGAGAAAAAAUGCCUUUUAAACUUAAUCCUCAGGCUAAAAUCCUGAACAGAGGCUCACACAGCGAGGCCUAUCAUCUUUUGCGAGCGUAACGGGUUCUGGUAACACCAGAAAAAAGCACAAUCUACAGAAACUCCCCACCUGAGAGCAGUGGCGUGGAAAACUACAAGCCUUUGUCUCGCUUAGCUUCCACCCAUGCCAGAGAGGCACCUGCCCACGCCUGUGCUGCUGACCAGCACGGAGCAGCAUCCCCAGAAGACAAAAGAUGCCCCAGAGAGGCGACCUGUCUGCGGGUGGCCUUCAGUUGUGCUUUGGAACAGGAUGCCCCAGGUGACCCCUGCUCCGGGCAGAGGCCGGCCCCCACUCACCCGGCGGCAGGAAGAGGGAGCCCCUCACGCCGCCCUCCUUCAGCCGGAUCCUCCUCACGCCGGGGGCCGUGAACCACCUCUCCACCUCGGCCUUGGCCAUCACCGGCCCGUGGAUGGCGCCGGGCUGGCUGUGGCCCUGGUGAACCAACAUCUCCACCUUCAUCGGGGUGCCGGUGCUGCGGGGAACGAGCCGCUGGUACGGCCUCUCCAUGCCCGCGGGGGCCAGGCUCCAGAAGAGCCCCAUCGGCUCCACGCCGGUGUAGUUCCCGCCGUGCGAGGCGUCCGUGCCCAGGUGCAGCUCGCCGCGGCCGUCCGCCCGGUAGUGCGCGCACGACUGGAAGAGGCAGCCCCGCUCGUCGGACACCACCGCCCGCAGCGUCACCGGCUGUCCCGGGCCCAGCCCCGCCACCCGCGUGUCCACCCGCUCGUCCGCCAGCCCGGCUGCGGGGGUCACGGCCACGCUGACCGUCCGGCGCGCCGGGGCACGGCACAGCGCCCGCGCGGGGGCCUUGGCGGCGACCGCCGCUCUCCACAUGACGGCGGCGCGGGGCCGAGGGCCGCGGAGCAGACGGAGGCGACGACGACAGCUGCCGCCCCCGCCAGGCAGCCUCAAUCGAGAGCGGAGCCCUCCCGCCCGGCGGGCGUUUCUGCGGCGCCGACACGGGGCCGGCGGGGGGGAUACGCCUCGCUCACCGCCCGCCUCCGCGCCGCGUCCCGGCGGCCCGGCCCCGCUGUGGGACCCCGGGUGCGGUGGGCGGUGGAGCGGCUCGCGGAGCCCUUCCCUCCCGCCGCGUCCCGUCCAGCGUGCACAAAUCAACCUCUGCUCGAGUUAACGUUUCACUUUAAUGAAUUAGAAAAGCGCGGAGAGUGCAAGGUGCAUUAAUAACCUGUGGGAUUUACGCGCAAGUCGAACGCUGCAUAUAGCCAGCUAGCUGCGUGCGCUCAGCCUGCACCCUUUGUAAGGCACCGAAGGGGUUUUCAGCUGACCGUGAAGAGUCGCCAGCACUUCCCUAGCAACAUUCAGUGCUUUCUCUUUCAAGUGCGUGCUCAGGAGACAGAAACUGCUCAGCAUCUCCAGAACAGAACCCUGCUGCUGCCCACUCCUCUGAGAAAGCCAGAAGGGAAGCCUGUUUUUUCAGUUCUGUUGUGUAUGCCCAGAAUGCAGUUUCAGGCUAUGGGCUGUUGUCAUCACUCCGUGGGAGACUUGCUAAAUGCUAGAUCUCAAAAUGGACAAUUAAGGCAGACAUACAAUUCAGUGACAUGAGAUAAGAUUACUGGAUGUAGGUAGAGAGAACAGCUACUUCCAAACAACAACAAACAAAAGUGCACUGUCUCCAGUAAGGACAGUGGCAUCCAACAUGCUUCCUCUGAGGAAGACGUACGAGUUAAAUAUAUUUUCAUCCCACCUCUCAGCUGAUUUACCUUCCACUUAAACUCGCUUU
rnacentral:lncRNA from 1 species